AUAGCAUGGUGUGGACAUUUACGAAUGAGAUCCUAAAGUCUCUCUCAUGUUUUAUGAAACAAUUCUCCAUCCUUCUGAAAAAAAUUAGUGAUGGCUUUCUUAAUUU